AUUGAACGCUGGCGGCAGGCCUAACACAUUCAAGUCGAGCGAGCGGCGGACGGGUGAGUAAUGCCUGGACAUUGCCCAGUCGAGGGCGAUAACAGUUGGAAACGACUGCUAAUACCGCAUACGAUUGACUUUCCCAGGUGGGGUUAGCUAGUUUGUGAGGUAAUGGCUCACCAAGGCGACGAUCCCUAGCUGGUCUGAGAGGAUGAUCAUCCACACUGUAACUGAGACACGGUCCAGACUCCUACGGGAGGCAGCAGUGGGGAAUAUUGCACAAUGGGGGAAACCCUGAUGCAGCCAUGCCGCGUGUGUGAAGAAGGCCUUCGGGUUGUAAAGCACUGUCAGCGAGGAGGCGUUACUCGCAGAAGAAGCACCGGCUAACUCCGUGCCAGCAGCCGCGGUAAUAC
rnacentral:rRNA from 1 species